UGGGGAAUAUUGCACAAUGGGGGAAACCCUGAUGCAGCGACGCCGCGUGAGCGAAGAAGGUUUUCGAAUCGUAAAGCUCUGUCCUAUGAGAAGAUAAUGACGGUAUCAUAGGAGGAAGCCCCGGCUAAAUACGUGCCAGCAGCCGCGGUAAUACGUAUGGGGCGAGCGUUGUCCGGAAUUAUUGGGCGUAAAGGGUACGUAGGCGGUCUAUUAAGUCAGGUGUGAAAGCGUGAGGCUUAACCUCAUUAAGCACUUGAAACUGAUAGACUUGAGUGAAGGAGAGGAAAGUGGAAUUCCUAGUGUAGCGGUGAAAUGCGUAGAUAUUAGGAGGAAUACCGGUGGCGAAGGCGACUUUCUGGACUGCAACUGACGCUCAGGUACGAAAGCGUGGGGAGCAAACAGG
rnacentral:rRNA from 1 species